rnacentral:rRNA from 1 species
UACGGGGGGUGCGAGCGUUGUCCGGAUUUACUGGGCGUAAAGAGCGCGCAGGCGGUCGAGUAAGUCGAAUGUGAAAGCCCCCGGCUUAACUGGGGAGGGUCAUUCGAUACUGUUCGACUUGAAGGCAGGAGAGGGCAGCAGAAUUCCCGGUGUAGUGGUGAAAUGCGUAGAUAUCGGGAGGAAUACCAGUGGCGAAGGCGGCUGCCUGGCCUGUUCUUGACGCUGAGGCGCGAAAGCUGGGGGAGCAAACGGG